GCGGAUUUCGGCAUCCGCAGCGAUCAAUUGGUCGGCAAGUCGGAAACUUUAGAGUAAGAUGCCGACUUACAAGAUCAGGGGAAUCGAUGUCGAUUUCCCGUUUGAAGCUUAUGAUUGCCAGCUUGUUUACAUGGAGAAAGUUAUUCAAUCCCUUCAAGAAAAACGUAAUGCGCUGUUGGAGAGUCCUACUGGAACAGGAAAGACUUUGUGUCUUCUUUGUGCUACAUUGGCUUGGAGGAAAAGUUUGGGUCCAUUCUCUUCUGGCAGAAGUAAAAAAGUAGGCCAUGAUGAUGACCCAUCAUCACAAUCUGAUUCUGGUCUUCCUACAAUAGUAUAUACAUCACGUACUCACAGUCAGCUUCAUCAAGUAAUUCAAGAAUUGAAGUGUUCAAGUUACAGGCCAAAGAUGGUAGUGUUGGGAUCACGCGAGCAGUUGUGCAUUCAUGAACAAGUGAGCUUACUGCGAGGAAAAGCUCAGACAAAUGCUUGCCAUUUGCUAUGUAGGAGGCGCCUUAAGCGUUUCUGUUCACAUUUUUCACGUGUCACAGAUUUUAUUAAGGAAAACCCUGGCCUUGGCGAUGAGCCUGUUGACAUAGAGGAUCUGGUUAAUAUUGGAAAAAGCUGUGGGCCAUGCCCAUAUUAUGUAUCUCGGGAACUGCACAAGGGUGCUGACAUCUUGUUUGCACCAUAUAACUAUCUCAUUGACCGGGGAAACAGAAAGACUAUUAGUGUUAACUGGAACAACAGCAUACUGAUAUUCGAUGAAGCUCACAACUUGGAAAGCUUGUGUGCAGAUGCAGCAUCUUUUGAACUUCCAUCUACUCUUCUGACUGCUUGCAUUUCGGAAGCAAAAAGUUGCAUGGACCUUUCUACUAAAAGGAGGGACAUAUCAAAUGAUAAAUCGUGUGAUCCUGAAAACUUUGCUAUUCUCAAAGCCCUUCUUUUAAAGCUUGAGAAGCGGAUUUCUGAAGUACCUAUUGUCUCCAAAGAAUUUGGUUUUACAAAGCCUGGGCCAUAUAUUUAUGAGUUUCUUGAUGACCUAAACAUUACAGAAACGACUGCCAAUAAGGUCAUUGACAUCAUAGAAGAAGCUGCUCUUCUUCUUGAGGAAGAAGCAGGUUCCAGUAAUAAUGGAGCGCCACAAAAGAUAAAGGGGAUUACAUGCAGAUUGGAAAGUAUGGGUGACAUUCUUAGGAUAAUUUUCAGGGACCAGGGCACCUCUCAUGCUCAGUAUUAUCGUGUUCAUGUUCGGGAAGUUGAGUCGAGUGCUACAUCUACUUUUGUAGGUAAGACCUCUAGAACGCUUAGCUGGUGGUGUUUCAAUCCUGGAAUUGCUAUGGAGGAAUUUGCCAAACUUGGUGUUGGAUCUAUUAUUUUGACAUCGGGCACAUUGUCUCCCAUGGAUUCCUUCGCUCAGGAGUUUAAGCUUGAAUUUCCUAUUCGUUUGGAAAAUCCUCAUGUUAUAUCUUCCAAUCAGUUAUGGGCUGGAGUAGUAUCAACAGGUCCUUCUGGGUACCCAUUCAACUCAUCAUACCGAUGUCGUGAUUCCAUAGAGUACAAGCAGGAGCUUGGAAAUGCCAUUGUGAAUUUUGCUCGAAUUGUGCCAGAUGGUUUGCUUGUAUUUUUCCCCUCAUACUAUCUAAUGGACCAGUGUAUUGGAUAUUGGAAGAGUAUGGAGAACAAAAGCUCUACUAAUUCAACCACUAUCUGGGAAAGAAUAUGCCAUCAUAAGCAGGCUGUUGUUGAACCUAGAGAAUCAUCACUUUUUCCUUCAUCAAUGGCUGACUACAGGGAUAAGUUGAAGGACAGAACUUCUGGUGCAGUAUUCUUUGCAGUUUGCCGUGGCAAGGUAAGUGAAGGAUUAGAUUUUGCAGAUCAUGCCGGGAGAGCUGUGGUUGUUACUGGUAUGCCAUUUGCCACAAGGACUGACCCAAAGGUUCGCCUAAAAAGAGAGUACUUGGACAGAUAUGAAAGGCCACAAGAAAUAGGAUGCAAGGGUUUGACAGGAGAAGAGUGGUACAAUCAACAAGCUGCACGUGCAGUAAAUCAAGCUGUUGGUCGUGUCAUUCGUCAUCGGCAUGAUUAUGGUGCCAUUAUAUUUUGUGAUGAAAGAUUUGCACAUCCAAGUCGUCAAUCCCAGAUCUCAUUGUGGAUACAGCCCAAUGUGAAGUGUCACGCCAAAUUUGGAGAUGUAGUCUUUACACUGACAAGGUUCUUCCGUGAUAAAGGAGGAAAACAUAACUCUACGAAGUUGGAGCUAGCACAAAUUAAAGACCAAGGAACACCAAAAAGAUUACAGUCUAGCCAACCCAAUGACCUCCAUCUAGCAAGCCUUCUUGCCCCCCUGACAGCACAAUUAGAUCCAAACACCUCAACUAAGCUAUCAUCUGGAUGUGAUGCCAAAAAACGAAGCAGCUUUGCUCGCCUGGCAGAUGUCCUUCCUGCUAACCGCUCAUCUCUGACUUCCAAUAGCCAUAAGAAGAAGCUCUCCGUGAAAGCUUCAAGCGAUUUGUUAGCUUGUGGGUUGAAAAGCACCCAGAGUAUGGACUCUAACAUAAUCGAUUUAGCCAGUGAUUCUUCCAUUUAUGAGGAAAGAAGUCAAGAAAUAAUAGGUGCUUCAUUUUCUUCGAAGAAGCUUAAAUUAGAAUCUGAUCCAGCAAUGAAUUGUAAUGAUGUUAUGAAUGCAAAUAAGAGGAUUGAUGUCCGUUCUACUUCUGGCCCUUCAUGUCAAGAGGAUGGAAAGGGAUCCACUUUCCUUGCACAGGUGCAAGCAAAGCUUAAUGGCGAUGAAUACAAAGAUUUUGUGGAUUCCAUGAAGGCACUGAAGUCUAAAACAAUGAACAUUAGCACGGUUUUGCAGUCCAUUGCAACAUUAUUCUCUCAUCCUGAUCGGCUUCCUCUUCUUCGAAGAUUCAAAGAUUUUAUACCUUCAAAGUAUCAUGCCUUGUACGAAGAGAUAUUAAGUCAAACCAAGGUGGUUAGUUUAUAACAAGUGAGACAGUUGGUUUUCGAAGAAAAAAAAUGGUUAGUCGAGGAUAACCGGCUGUAAGAGUUAUUUUGUAAGCUGAUUUGUCGAAAGAUCUAAUACUGAAGCUGAUUUGUCGGAAGGAUCCAACCCUAUGAGGCAAGAUUCUUUAUUCUAUAGGUUAUUGGGAAACCCCAAAAUAAGUCAAUUCUUCUAAAAAAACAUGCAUUAUUGUUAUAUCUGAUAAUUUAGAAUUCAUGAAUAAUAGAUCUUGUAUAAAUUAUAUUUUAUAUACAUCUUUCUUUAAAUUCAC